UACGUAGGGUGCAAGCGUUGUCCGGAAUUACUGGGCGUAAAGAGCGCGUAGGUGGUUUGCCGCGUCGUCUGUGAAAUUCCGGGGCUUAACUCCGGGCUUGCAGGGGAUACGGGCAAACUGGAGUGCUGUAGGGGAGACUGGAAUUCCUGGUGUAGCGGUGGAAUGCGCAGAUGUCAGGAGGAACACCGAUGGCGAAGGCAGCGCUCUGGGCCGUUACUGACACUGAGGAGCGAAAGCAUGGGUAGCGAACAGG
rnacentral:rRNA from 1 species